rnacentral:rRNA from 1 species
UACGUAGGUGGCAAGCGUUGUCCGGAAUUAUUGGGCGUAAAGCGCGCGCAGGCGGUCCUUUAAGUCUGAUGUGAAAGCCCACGGCUCAACCGUGGAGGGUCAUUGGAAACUGGGGGACUUGAGUGCAGGAGAGAAGAGUGGAAUUCCACGUGUAGCGGUGAAAUGUGUAGAUAUAGGGAAGAACACCAAACGGCGAAGGCAGUUAACUAUUCGGCUACUGACAUUGAGGCAUGAAAGCGUGGGGAGCAAAACGG